rnacentral:lncRNA from 1 species
UCUCAAAUUCCUGACCUCAAGUGAUCCUCCUGCCUCGGCCUCCCAAAGUGUUAAGAUUAUAGGCGUGAGCCACCGUGCCCGGCCUCGGUUCAUUUGCAGAUCUGUGCCUUCUUCAAAUACAUCUGGACUUCUCCAUUCUCUCACGGUCAUGGUGACCUGUCUCUUGACUACCAUCUAACCAGCAGAGUGGUCUUUUGAGAGCAUGCACUGUUGUGGUCACCCACCCUUCAUGGCUUUACAGAGGCCUCCAGGCCCUACACUGUGGGAUCCAUGAGCACCUUCUGGCCUGUCCUUCCUCAUUCUCCUCUCUCUCCCUUCUGUGCGUCCACUGCACCUGCCUUCCACCACUUCCAAGCUCUUUCCCAGCCGGGGACCCCUGAGUCCUGGGUCCUCCCUGCAGAACUCAC